rnacentral:lncRNA from 1 species
AUGCCAUAUACUUCAGUUUACUCAAAUUCACGUAGUGAAGACGAUUUGUAAUGAAGCUGGAGCAGGCAAAUAACCCAUUGGAGAAACAAGUCAAAGAAGGGUCGUAUAAAUUUCCGAACAACCUCUGGAAGAAUGUUAGCAGUGAAGCUAAGGAUCUUAUAACAAAACUGCUUACUGUUGGUCACAGAAAAUGCAUCACGGUUUCAGAAGCUCUGGAACAUCCUUGGAUGAAGGAUAAAGAAAUGAUAGAAAAAGCAGAAAAA